rnacentral:misc_RNA from 1 species
AAGUCGUAACAAGGUUUCCGUAGGUGAACCUGCGGAAGGAUCAUUAAAGAGUAACUUGGGAAGAUGUGCUGGCACUGCAGGUGCACUCUUCUCAACUAUUCAUCCAAACCCCUGUGCACCUUUUUAAUGAUGCGAAUAGUUGAAAGACUUUCGUGUCUAUUAUAACAUAACCCUAUGAUUAUACUAUUAUUGACGAAUGUAACAAGUUGUAAACUUAAUACAACCAUCAGCAACGGAUCUCUUGGCAUCC